UACGUAGGGGGCAAGCGUUGUCCGGAAUCAUUGGGCGUAAAGAGCGCGUAGGCGGUCCGGUAAGUCCGCUCUGAAAGUCCGGGGCUCAACCCCGGGAGGCGGGCGGAUACUGUCGGGCUAGAGUCCGGAAGAGGCGAGUGGAAUUCCUGGUGUAGCGGUGAAAUGCGCAGAUAUCAGGAGGAACACCAAUUGCGAAGGCAGCUCGCUGGGACGUUACUGACGCUGAGACGCGAAAGCGUGGGGAGCAAACAGG
rnacentral:rRNA from 1 species